UACGAAGGGGGCUAGCGUUGCUCGGAAUUACUGGGCGUAAAGCGCACGUAGGCGGCUCUUUAAGUCGGGGGUGAAAUCCUGGAGCUCAACUCCAGAACUGCCUUCGAUACUGUAGAGCUUGAGUUCGGGAGAGGUGAGUGGAACUGCGAGUGUAGAGGUGAAAUUCGUAGAUAUUCGCAAGAACACCAGUGGCGAAGGCGGCUUCCUGGACACUUACUGACGCUGAGACGCGAAAGCGUGGGGAGCAAACAGG
rnacentral:rRNA from 1 species